rnacentral:rRNA from 1 species
GGAAUAUUGCGCAAUGGCCGAAAGGCUGACGCAGCGACGCCGCGUGGAGGAUGAAAUCCGUUAGGAUGUAAACUCCUUUUGCUCGGGAAGAAUAGCCGCUUCUGGCGGAAAUGACUGUACCUAGCGAAUAAGGAUCGGCUAACUACGUGCCAGCAGCCGCGGUAAUACGUAGGAUCCGAGCGUUGUCCGGAUGUCCUGGGUGUAAAGGGAGUGUAGGUGGGUCUCUAAGUCGGUGGUGAAAUCCUGCAGCUCAACUGCAGAACUGCUGUCGAUACUGGGGAUCUUGAGUGCGGUAGAGGGAGACGGAAUUCAUGGUGUAGCGGUGAAAUGUGUAGAUAUCAUGAAGAACACCGGUUGCGAAGGCGGUCUCCUGGCCCGUUACUGACACUGAGACGCGAAAGCGUGGGGAGCAAA